GUUUUAGUAGCUCAGAUGGCAGAGCAUUGUACUAGUGAUACAGUGGUCGUGGGUUCAAGUCCCACCCAAAACA